rnacentral:rRNA from 1 species
AAUUAAAGGGGUUAUUAAGGAAACUAUUCAAAUUUAUAAAUAAGGAGGCUUAUUGCCAAAAUUUUCUAAAUUAAAAUUUCAUUUAUAAUUUUAGGCGCAGCCAGUAAAUGAAAAAUUUAAAUUUUUAAUAGAAAAAAAUCCUAAGGUAAACCAAAAUUAUUAAUUACUUCCUGAAGUAAAACAUUUUAUUAAGGAAAGGAAAGGAAAUCAACCGAGACUCCGAAAGUAAUGGUGAGUGAAAUCGGAACAGCCUAAAUUAUGUUAUAAAAUUGAAAUCUAAAAUAGGUAAAAAUCAUUAGUCCUGUAAAUUUUAUAAGUAAUGAACUCUAAAUAAUAAUAAAAAGUAAAAAAUUUAAACAAAUUUUUGUUAAAGUUAAUUUGUUUGAAAAUUUGAGAGGCCGCCUGUCCAUCACGUGCCUAACUAAUAAGUUAGAAACGUGGUAUAUUGGUAGUUUGCUUCUCGACAAUAAAAGCCUGCGCUGCAUGCUGUCUAAUACAAAUAUUCUUAUUUAACUGGAAGGAAUGACUAAGUACAAUGAGUGUAAACUUGUUGGAAAACAGGGGAACCAUCCUCUAAGGCUAAGUAUUAUAAAUUUAGUGAUAGUGAAAAGUACUGUAAAGGAAAAGAAUGAAAAAGACAAGUGGUAAACAAUGUGUUGAAAUAGAUAUGAAUUAGUAACUCUAUAAGCAGUCGAAAUUCUAAACAUUCAAUGAAUAACGGCGUACCUUUUGCAUAAUGGGUCAGCAAGUUAAUAAGAGUAGCAAGGUUAAAAGCCCUAGCGAAAGCGACUAAACUAUCAAAUUAAAUAUAAAAUAAACCUAACAAAUAAAAUUUAAACAAUCAAUCUUUUUAAUGAAAAUAUAUAUUUAAUUAUAAUGUAGUGUUGGAUUAGUUACUUUUAUUAGACCCGAAGCCAGGUGAUCUUACCUAGACCAGAUUAUAAUGGAUCGAACGGGUGAAUGUUGCAUUAUUCUCCGAUGAGUUUAGGUAAGCGGUGAAAUGCCAAUCUGACCUGGUGCUAUCUGGUUUUCUACCGAAACAUAUUUUAGUAUGACAUCUACAAAAGGAGAUUUAUGGAGGUACAGAAAGGCAAUUCCAAACAAAAAAAAGAGUUUAAUAAGUUAUAUUAUUUAUUACAUUCAUAAAUCUUUUUGGCGUUUAGGUUGAGGGGAUGUUAAAAUCUUACCUUUGGAAGCGAAACUCGAAAUUACAUAAAUUGAUAGUAGAUAUUCAGACUGCUCAUGCUAAGUUGAGUAGUCAAGACGGAAACAGCCGAGAACACAGAUCAAGGUCAAUCGAACUAUAAAUAUAAAAUUAAUUAUAUUAAUAGGGCCUAAUCUAGUUAAUUAAAUUUAACAGAUUCCAAAUUUACUGUUUACAAUGACCCUCUAAAAUAUAAAUAGAUAUUAUUAUCUCAUAACUUCAUAUUUGAUAAUUCUAAAAUUACCUGCUGCAGUUGCGAUGCGAAGCAGUAGUGGCAACCUAAUACGUAAAAAAUUAGGCACUAGAAUUAAUAGAGAAAAUUGUAGGGUACAAUCUAAACAAUUGAGAAAAAUUAUAUAAAUUAACCCCUCAACGAACUUCCUGUGCGCAAGGCUAGCAGUGCUGCAAAUUGCAGAAGUAGCCGGGCUGAUAUAGUAAAUAUUAGUCUAAAUAUGUUAAAUUUAAUUUUGCCCAAAUAGAUUGUUAAGUGAAAAUCAAGGACGUGACAAAAUCUUAUACAGUUGUGAAGUGAGCUUGGUAGUCGCUACUUAUAAUGAUCGUAUGUAACAACGCAUCAACAGUUUUUAGCUUUGUUACGCCGAAAAUUUAACGGGUCUUAAACAAUCAACCGAUAUCGUGUUGAUAUUGAAUUUAUAAAAUUUUACCCUUCCUAUUAAAAGUUAAACCCCAACCUUCCCACUACUAUAUCUUUGUAAAAGUGGGUAGAAAAGGGUUGUCGUUAACGCUAGGGCUAAAUGUUUAUUCUUUAUCUAGGUAGUAGAACAUUCAGUCAAUCUAUUUAUAAAAUAGUGUUUCAUUAUUUUUUAGGCAACUGAAGAGAGAAUGCUGACAUGAGUAACGUAAAAGAAGAAUAUAAUUCUUCUCGCCGAAAACGAAAGGGUUACAAUAAAAGGUUAAAUCAUUUUGUGUUAAUGCGGCCUCUAAGGACUAUAACCAAAGUUAUGGCUGAUGAGUAUAUUAUAGAAAGUCCAAAAUAAAAUUUUAUUGGGACCAAGAAAAUAAUAUUUGUUUUAGGCUAAUUUUAUUUAUUUAUUUGAUUAAUUAAAAUUAGUUAAUCUUUAAAAUAGUCGGACUUACUUGUUCAAAAGUAGGUAGACACAAUUAUUUAGUUAAUAUUUGAUAAGGAAAGAAAGAGCUGGUAUGUAGAACCGUAAAGGCCCACUCUCCAUCCUUUCAUCAUUAUUUAAAGUUGGAAGGAUAAAAAUAAUGGACUUUAUUAAAUUUAUAAUAAAGAGGUGUAUAUAAUUACCUUGCACCAAUUUAAGGAGUUAAUUUUAUUUAACUUAAUCCCAAAGUAUAAAAAAAGUAUUAAAUUAACACUCUCGCUUUGCUGCGUUUGGUUAAUUUUUUAGUUUUUAUAUAAAUAAAAUUAUUAGUUUAAUUUUUAAGCCUUACUCUCUUCCACUUCUACCACCACAUAAAAGUUCUGCCACUGUCUUUUCGAAAAGGGAGAGUGAGCGAUUGGUGUUGUUCAUUUAAGGAUAAAAGGGGUAGGGUGAGGAAGGGUCUUCAGUUAAGUAGGAAGUUAACCUGCUUCUUAAUGGUUUUUUGAAUAUUGAGGAUAAAAUACUAAACCGAAAUUAGAAACUUAAAUUUUAACUAAUUAUUACCUUAAUUUAUUCUUAUUUUUAAUUAAAUAAUAACUAAUAAAAGGACUAAGAUAAAUAAAAUAUAUAUUUUAUUUAUUUUAGUCUGAAUUGUAAAUAUAUUUAUAUUUUACUUUGUCAAUAUUUAUUGGGCUUGUUUCAAAUACAAAAUUUACUUCUAUAAUUAAACGUUAAAGGAAGAAGCGGCUCUGCAAAUCUAAGGGCUGUGGUUGAAUUAACUAUCUAACCUAAAGGUAGAAGUAUUCACUCAUAAAGUAUAAUUAAAAAUAAUAAACAAUUAAAAAAUUUUGAUUAAACUAACCUUGGAAUAAGUAUUAGACAAAUUAAAAGAAAAUACCCUGCGUUUGUUCUUAGGAUAAAUAUUUGCAGGAAUCUUUGAAGCUUAGCAGUCCCUCUAUUCAGUUGGUCUGUCUCUCGCUUGCGAAGUAAAAUUAAGAUAUAUUUUAGAUUUUAUAAAUUUAUAAAAAUGUUAUUAAAUAACACUACCGUACCCUAAACCGACACAGGUUCGUAGGUAGAGUAUACUAAGGCGUAGAGCUAAAAGUUGUUAAGGAACUCGGCAAGAAUACCUCAUAAGUUUUACAAGAAGAGGUGCCUACUGUUUUUAAAAUUUUUAUUUAAUUUAUUCGGAAUUAUUUAUAAAAUUUUAGAAUGGUAUGGUGACAGAAAAUCGGAGGCCACGACUGUUUACUAAAAACACAGAUCAAUGCAAAGAUGAAAAUCAUAGUAUAUUGGUCGAAAUUUGCUCGAUGCCAUUAAUAUAAAAGAGGUCAUUGAAAAUGUGACUGAUUGAAAGUCUGGUUAAUAGCGGUCUGGAUAAGGCCGUGUGGAUUACUGAACAAAACUAUUUUAGGAAUGCAGUAAAUACACUAAUCACUAUAUGCUAGAAUCCCUUCCGUGUAAUUAUGUGUUUUAUAAUAAUAAGUUUAAUGCUUGAGCUGUAUGCGAUGAAAGUCGCACGUACAGUUCUUAGAGGAUGUUAUACCAGUAAUGUAUAACGGAGCCUCAACAGACCCUAUGCAGCUUCUACUGUAGUUAGUUAUCACAGGUAUCUAGAACAAUCUAAAUGAUUAGAGAAUAGGGAUUGUCGAUAGACUAAAAGUGAAAACCUUAUAAUUAAGAUUGGGUAUUUGUUAACCUAUUUUGUGUUAUCAAUGUCAGUAUUGUUAAGUAACCACAAAGAGGGAGAGUUGACUAAUUGGCAGUUUGACUGGGGCGGUCGUCUUUAAUAGAGUAGCAAAGUACAAUCCAAUUAUUUUCACAAAUUAAAUAAGUAAAUUAUUGUAUUAUUUUUUUAAUAAAAUUUUAAUUGUCUGACGCUGGAGCCUACCACUAAUUAAUUUAGUGUGACCUCAGGCCAACCGACCUUUAGUCGGGGAGUAGGGCAGCAUCAAUAAAACCCAAUUUCAGUAUUUAUCAUUUAUUAAAAAGUGGUAACAUCACUCUACCUAGGUGGAAAAGGAAAAAGGAAAAUUUAAAAAAGGAAACUUCCGCUAAUUGUGAAAGCCCCUCACUCAGUUUUGAGGGGAGCUUUUAUUGCAGGAGUCUGUAAACGAAGAUCUUUAAUUAAAAAAAAAAUUGUUUUAUAAAUUAAAAUUAAAAUUCAUCGUUCCAAUUUAAAAUAUCUAAAUUCUAAAUUCUAAUAUCUCACUAGAAAUUAAGAAUAAGAAAUUAGAAUAACUAAAAAAAACAAAUUUAAAUUAAGGUAUAGCUAGAAAUUGUAUGGAGAACAAUCAACCAAUGAAGGGUUGCGCAGAGUUUAAUGGCGGUAAGCAUGCUUAACUGAAAGACCUAUAAGUCGCUCAGAUACGUAAGUAGGGCAUAGUGAUCCCUCGUUAAAGUAUGGAAUUGACGGGGCUAAAUAGAUAAAAGUUACGCUAGGGAUAACAGGCUGAUCACCGACGAGAGUACACAUUGUCUCGGUGGUUUGGCACCUCGAUGUCGACUCAUCUCAUCCUCCGGGGGAAGAAUCUUGGAAGGGUUCGGCUGUUCGCCGAUUAAAGAGGUACGUGAGUUGGGUUUAAUACGACGUAAGUCAGUAUAGACCCUAUCUUUUGUAGAUAAAAUUAGUAAAAAGGGGCAGACCUUCUAGUACGAAAGGAUCAAUAGGCUGUGUUUCUCUAGUGUACCAAUUGUAUAAAUUUAUUAUCAGGGACCCAAAAUUUCUAAAUAACUUUAGAAAAUAGGGAAAAAUCCUUUAUAAUAAAACUUUUAUGUUUAACCCUAUUUUUAGCGCCUAAAGCCUAACUUAGGUAAAAAGUAAUAUGUUAAGGGUUAUAAUAAAUUAACGCAUAGUUGGGUGGCCACAAACAUAAUAGAUAAGUGCUGAAUGUAUAUCAAGCAAGAAUCUAACCUCUAGAUACUAAAAAACGAAUCUUUUUUUAUAUAUUAGAAUAUUUAUUAAAAAAAUUAAUAGUCAAAAUUUAGCAUUGUGAGGAAAAUAUAAUAAUAAAUAUAUAAUAUUAUUUUAAAAGUUUAAAUCGUUAAUUAAGAAAUAGAACAUUUCUAGAUAGGCUGCAAAUGUAAAUAUCGUGAGAUAUGAUUUAUAAUAAAAUAUAAAUUAAAUUAAAGUUAAUUUUUUUUAAGUUUAGCAGUACUAAUUUAUAAAUAAACUUGAUGUUAAAGAUUGUCAUAUUUGUCCUAUUAUUUUCAACUGUCAAAAUGAUAAAAAAGGCCUUUCUUAAAAGAACUAUGGAAAAGUUUAUUUGAGAGAAGGCUGCCAAUUAA